rnacentral:rRNA from 1 species
AUUGAACGCUGGCGGCAGGCCUAACACAUGCAAGUCGAACGAGUGGCGGACGGGUGAGUAAUGUCUGGGAAACUGCCUGAUGGAGGGGGAUAACUACUGGAAACGGUAGCUAAUACCGCAUACCAUCAGAUGUGCCCAGAUGGGAUUAGCUAGUAGGUGGGGUAACGGCUCACCUAGGCGACGAUCCCUAGCUGGUCUGAGAGGAUGACAAGACAAACUGGAGCGGAGACACGGUUCAGACUCCUACGGGAGGCAGCAGUGGGGAAGAUUUCACAAUGGGCGCAAGCCUGAGGCAGCCAUGCCGCGUGUAUGAAGAAGGCCUUCGGGUUGGAAAGUACUUGCAGCGGGGAGGCGUUACCCGCAGAAGAAGCACCGGCUAACUCCGUGCCAGCAGCCGCGGUAAUAC